rnacentral:rRNA from 1 species
GACGAACGCUGGCGGCGUGCUUAACACAUGCAAGUCGAACGAAGAGCGAUGGAAGCUUGCUUCUAUCAAUCUUAGUGGCGAACGGGUGAGUAACGCGUAAUCAACCUGCCCUUCAGAGGGGGACAACAGUUGGAAACGACUGCUAAUACCGCAUACGAUCUAAUCUCGGCAUCGAGGAUAGAUGAAAGGUGGCCUCUACAUGUAAGCUAUCACUGAAGGAGGGGAUUGCGUCUGAUUAGCUAGUUGGAGGGGUAACGGCCCACCAAGGCGAUGAUCAGUAGCCGGUCUGAGAGGAUGAACGGCCACAUUGGGACUGAGACACGGCCCAGACUCCUACGGGAGGCAGCAGUGGGGAAUCUUCCGCAAUGGACGAAAGUCUGACGGAGCAACGCCGCGUGAGUGAUGACGGCCUUCGGGUUGUAAAGCUCUGUUAAUUGGGACGAAAGGCCUUCUUGCGAAUAGUUAGGAGGA